GCAGCCUCGCAGGUUCCUCUUACCCACUGCGCCGCCGUCGCAUCGUGCCCUCCCCCUUUGUGGGCUCUCUGGUUCUCAAACCCAGGUGGACCCACUCCUCCCGCCCACUGGCCCGCCGCAGCUCCCACCAUUGGUCCGCGGCACUUGUCCGUUUCCUGGGAGAGUUCAGCUCCUCCCGGCAGGAAGAGGCGCUGGCCUCAUUGGGUGCGUUAGGAGGGAAGAGUGGAUCCUAAAAGGUAGUACUGAGCCUUCGUUCAAACUAAAAGGCUGGAAGGGAGGCCGCUGCCUUUGUUUGCCAUGGAUGGGUAGGGGCUGCACUGAGCAGCACCUGUGUUCUUUAUCCGGCUGCACCCCCAACAGAGCUCUUUCUUCCCCAGAUCAUUUUACAGUUGGAUUCUCCCUCUUGGAUCUGGCUCUGCCUUAGUCCAACCUAAAGGGAUCAGCUUCGCCCACGCCCACUCUCACCCCGAAACCUUUCAUCUGCUAUUGAAGCCUUUUAGGCCCAUUGAGAUGUUCAUUAGAAGAACUCUGAAAACUACGGUUCUCCCCUUUAGGAAGACUGCACCACAGCUCGCCCUCUCCUGGGUUUCGGAAAACCUCAGUUCAGAAAAGCAAUAAACUAUGGGGGGCUGUUUAGAAUGUUGCAUCUCUGGAGAGCAAGUUGCAUUUUAACAGUGAUCAGAGCCUUUAAUUAAGGCAUGAAGGUCAAAUCAUUUCUGCUUCAUCCAGCCCGGUUGCAGAGUGAGCCCAUGGGACAUCCCUCUGAAAUUAUACUGCUUACAACCAUGCUGAGUCUGCAAGGACUUCAUCCAAGCCUUUCCGUCCAGGACCUCAAACAGCUCUAAUCACAAGAAGAGAGAUUUCAGGAAAGAGAAAAUUUUUCCUAUCAUUGGCGUUUUUGAAGAACAUGAAAUGACUGGGAAAAUAAUCUUGUUAAGUAGAAAAAAAAGAAAUCUGUUAUAAUUUUCAAAUAAUUUUUAAAUAAAUUGGAAAAAUUAAGAGAACUAUA